rnacentral:rRNA from 1 species
AAAACAAAGGCUCCCACCUACGGGCGGGCGGUGGAUUCCGCCGGGGGUGGGGCACGGAAGGGGGCGAAGGGAAUUCCCGGCGUAGGGGUUAAAUGGGGCAGAAUUGAGGAGGACCACCAGUGGGGAGGCGCCUCGUUGGACGGUCCUGACGGUGAGCCCCGAAAGCUAGGGAGCGAACAGGAUUAGAUACCCUGGAGUCCUAGCGUAAACGAUGGACACUAGGUGUGGGGGAGUCGAAUCCGUGUGUGCCACAGCUAACGCGUUAAGUGUCCCGCCUGGGGAGUACGGCCGCAAGGCUAGACCUCAAAAGAAUAGUCGAAGGACCGCACAAGCAGCGGAGCAUGAUCUGUACUUCGAUGCAACGCGAAGAACCUGAGAUGGACUUGACAUGGUCUUGCAAGCGCACGCAAGCGCGUGACAUUGGAGGGCGCUGCACGGACGCCGCAGAUCUGUCAUCAGCUUGUCUAGUGAGAUCGUGGGAUAAGUGCGUCAGCGAGCCCACGACCGCAGCCCUGUUGCCGUCUUUCCAUCAGUAAGCUGGGGCCACACGCCAGACGACCGGCGGCAACCGGAGGAAGGUGGGGACGAGUCCACGUCAUCAUGGCUUUUCACGUCCAGGGCUAGAAACGCGCUACAAUGGCUGAUACAAAGGGUUGCAAGCCCGCAAGGUGGAGCGAAUCUCAUCAAAGUCAGUCUAAGUUCGGAUCGCAGUCUGCAACUCGACUGCGUGAAGGCGGAGUUGCUAGUAAUCGCGGAUCAGCAUGCCGCGGUGAAUACGUUCCCGGGCCUUGUACACACCGCCCGUCACACCACGAAAGUCGGCAAUACCCGAAGCAGGCGCAGCCAACCCCUUGUGGGAGGCGGUCUGCGAAGGUAGGGCUGGCGAUUGGGGUGAAGUCGUAACAAGGUAGCCGUACCUGAAGGUGCGGCUGGAUCACCUCUUAAAGGUUGGAUCCCC